GGGCGCUUAGCUCAGCGGGAGAGCGCUUCCUUGACGUGGAAGAGGUCACAGGUUCAAUCCCUGUAGCGCCCACCA
rnacentral:tRNA from 1 species